AUUGAACGCUGGCGGAAUGCUUUACACAUGCAAGUCGAGCGGCAGCGCGGGGGCAACCCUGGCGGCGAGCGGCGAACGGGUGAGUAAUACAUCGGAACGUGUCCUUAAGUGGGGGAUAGCUCGGCGAAAGCCGGAUUAAUACCGCAUAAGCUCUGAGGAGGAAAGGCGGGGGCUCCGUAAGGACCUCGCGCUGUUGGAGCGGGCCGAUGUCGGAUUAGCUAGUUGGUGGGGUAAAGGCCCACCAAGGCGACGAUCCGUAGCUGGUCUGAGAGGAUGAUCAGCCACACUGGAACUGAGACACGGUCCGGACUCCGUACGGGAGGCAGCGAGGUGGGGAAUAUUGGAACAAUGGGGGCAACCCUGAUCCAGCGACG
rnacentral:rRNA from 1 species